rnacentral:rRNA from 1 species
GACGAACGCUGGCGGCGGGCUUAACACAUGCAAGUCGAACGGAAAGGCCCUGCUUGUGUGGGGUGCUCGAGUGGCGAACGGGGGAGGAACACGUGAGUAACCUGCCCUUGACUUUGGGAUAACUUCAGGAAACUGGGGCUAAUACCAGAUAGGAUCUCCUGCUGCAUUGUGGGGGGUGGAAAGUUUCGGCUGUUGGGGAUGGACUCGCGGGUUAUGAGCUUGUUGGUGGGGUAGGGGCUUACCAAGGCUUUGACUGGUAGCCGGCCUGAGAGGGUGACCGGCCACAUUGGGACUGCGAUAGGGCCCAGACUCCUACGGGAGGCAGCAGUGGGGAACCUUGCCCAAUGGGCCGGAGCCUGAUGCAGAAACGCUGCGUGUGGGAUGACGGCCUUCGGGUUGUAAAACGCUUUCGGCUGUGACGAAGCGUGAGUGACGGUAAUGGGUAAAGAAGCACCGGCUAACUACGUG